AGCUCCAAUAGCGUAUAUUAAAGUUGUUGCAGUUAAAAAGCUCGUAGUUGGAUUUGUGGUUGGAGCGAUCGGUUCAACACCAAGUGUUGAUACUUGAUGGCUCUGUCCAUCCUUGGGUGGAAUCUGUGUGGCAUUAAGUUGUCGUGCAGGGGAUGCCCAUCAUUUACUGUGAAAAAAUUAGAGUGUUCAAAGCAGGCUUAUGCCGUUGAAUAUAUUAGCAUGGAAUAAUGAGAUAGGACCUUGGUACUAUUUUGUUGGUUUGCGCACCGAGGUAAUGAUUAAUAGGGACAGUUGGGGGUAUUCGUAUUCCAUUGUCAGAGGUGAAAUUCUUGGAUUUCUGGAAGACGAACUACUGCGAAAGCAUUUACCAAGGAUGUUUUCAUUAAUCAAGAACGAAAGU
rnacentral:rRNA from 1 species